GAGAGGUGGUGCAUGGCCGUCGUCAGUUCGUACUGUAAAGCGUUCUGUUAAGUCAGAUAACGAACGAGACCCUCAUCUCUAUUUGCUACCUGGUUCUCCGGAACCAGCGCACUAUAGGGAGACCGCUGGUGUGAAACCAGAGGAAGGGGAGGGCAACGACAGGUCAGUAUGCCCCGAAUGUCUUGGGCUACACGCGCGCUACAAAGGGCAGGACAAUGGGAUGCUAGGCCGAGAGGCAUUCAAGCUAACCCGAAACCUGUUCAUAGUUCGGAUUGAGGGCUGUAACUCGCCCUCAUGAAGCUGGAUUCCGUAGUAAUCGUGUUUCAAUAUAGCACGGUGAAUAUGCCCCUGCUCCUUGCACACACCGCCCGUCAAACCAUCUUAGUUGGGGGUGGGUGAGGCUGCGCUUUAUGGCGUAUUCGAGCCUGCCUUCGACAAGGAGGGUUAAGUCGUAACAAGGUAGCC
rnacentral:rRNA from 1 species